GGCCCCGGUAGCUGAGCGGUCAAAGCGACGGAAUGUUAAUCCUAAGGGCCCGGGUUAGAUUCCCGGCUGGGUCG